GACGAACGCUGGCGGCGUGCUUAACACAUGCAAGUCGAGCGAGGCUCCUUCCUUCGGGAGGGAUGCCCUAGCGGCGAACGGGUGAGUAACACGUGGGCAACCUGCCUCUAGCACUGGGGAUAACUCCGGGAAACCGGGCGUAAUACCGGAUACGACCUCUGAGGGCGAUCCUCCGGACGGUGGAAAGCAUUGUGGCUAGAGAUGGGCCCGCGGCCUAUCAGCUUGUUGGUGAGGUAACGG
rnacentral:rRNA from 1 species